rnacentral:rRNA from 1 species
AGCUCCAAUAGCGUAUAUUAAAGUUGUUGCAGUUAAAAAGCUCGUAGUUGGAUCUCAGGUGCAGGCGGGCGGUCCGGCUCGCGCCGGUUCACUGCCCGUAUUUCCUGCCCUACCGUCUGUCGGCUCUCUCCCGCGGGUGCUCUUCGCUGAGCGUCCCGGGUGGCCGGCGCGUUUACUUUGAAAAAAUUAGAGUGUUCAAAGCAGGCCUCGGCUGCCUGAAUAAUGGUGCAUGGAAUAAUGGAAUAGGACCUCGGUUCUAUUUUGUUGGUUUUCGGAACUGGAGGUAAUGAUUAACAGGGACAAACGGGGGCAUUCGUAUUGCGGCGUUAGAGGUGAAAUUCUUGGAUCGCCGCAAGACGAGCUACUGCGAAAGCAUUUGUCAAGAAUGUUUUCA